CUCCUACGGGAGGCAGCAGUGGGGAAUAUUGCACAAUGGGCGGAAGCCUGAUGCAGCAACGCCGCGUGCGGGAUGACGGCCUUCGGGUUGUAAACCGCUUUCGCCUGUGACGAAGCGUGAGUGACGGUAAUGGGUAAAGAAGCACCGGCUAACUACGUGCCAGCAGCCGCGGUGAUACGUAGGGUGCGAGCGUUGUCCGGAUUUAUUGGGCGUAAAGGGCUCGUAGGUGGUUGAUCGCGUCGGAAGUGUAAUCUUGGGGCUUAACCCUGAGCGUGCUUUCGAUACGGGUUGACUUGAGGAAGGUAGGGGAGAAUGGAAUUCCUGGUGGAGCGGUAGAAUGCGCAGAUAUCAGGAGGAACACCAGUGGCGAAGGCGGUUCUCUGGGCCUUUCCUGACGCUGAGGAGCGAAAGCGUGGGGAGCGAACAGGCUUAGAUACCCUGGUAGUCCACGCUGUAAACGGUGGGUACUAGGUGUGGGGUCCAUUCCACGGGUUCCGUGCCGUAGCUAACGCUUUAAGUACCCCGCCUGGGGAGUACGGCCGCAAGGCUAAAACUCAAAGGAAUUGACGG
rnacentral:rRNA from 1 species